UAACAAUGAUUUCCCUAGUAACGGCGAGUGAAGAGGAAAGAGCUCAAAGUUGGAACCUGUUUGGCUUAGCUAAACCGGAUUGUAAACUGUAGAAGUGUUUUCCAGACACGCCUGGUAAAAAAGUCCUUUGGAACAGGGCAUCAUAGAGGGUGAGAAUCCCGUCUUUGGCCAGAGCUGUUGUCUUUUGUGAUACAUUUUCAAAGAGUCAGGUUGUUUGGGAAUGCAGCCUAAAUUGGGUGGUAAAUCUCACCUAAAGCUAAAUAUUUGCGAGAGACCGAUAGCGAACAAGUACCGUGAGGGAAAGAUGAAAAGAACUUUGAAAAGAGAGUUAAACAGUAUGUGAAAUUGUUAAAAGGGAACCGUUUGGAGCCAGACUGGCUUGACUGUAAUCAAUCUAGGCUUCGGCCUGGAUGCACUUGCGGUUUAUGCCUGCCAACGACAAUUUUCUUUGAGGGAAAAAACUAUUAGGAAUGUGGCCCCCCUCGGGGGGUGUUAUAGCCUUUUAGAAAAUACCUUGAAUUGGAUUGAGGAACGCAGUGAAUGCCUUUAGGCAAGAUUGCUGGGCGCUUUCGCUAAUAAAUGCUAGAAUUUCUGCUUCGGGUGGUGCUAGUGUUUAAAGGAGAAACUCGUCUGGUAUAUUUUUUAUUCGCUUAGGUUGUUGGCUUAAUGACUCUAAAUGACCCGUCUUGAAACACGGACCAA
rnacentral:rRNA from 1 species